UACGUAGGGGGCAAGCGUUGUCCGGAUUUAUUGGGCGUAAAGAGCGUGUAGGCGGCCUGACAGGUCUGCUGUGAAAAACUCGAGGCUCAACCUCGAGAUGUCGGCGGAAACCGUCUGGCUAGAGUCCGGAAGAGGAGAGUGGAAUUCCUGGUGUAGCGGUGAAAAUGCGCAGAUAUCAGGAGGAACACCGGUGGCGAAGGCGGGUCUCUGGGCAGUAACUGACGCUGAGGAGCGAAAGCGUGGGGAGCGAACAGG
rnacentral:rRNA from 1 species